UUGCUUCCGCAGCACAUGUACUAAAACUGGAAAGAUACAGAGAUUAGCAUGGCCCCUGAGCAAGGAUGACAUGCAAAUUCAUGAAGCAUUCCAUAUUUUU
rnacentral:snRNA from 1 species